rnacentral:snRNA from 1 species
AAUAGUUUUAAAAAGAUUUACAA